CUUUAAGGGUCCUGAAGGAACGUUGAAGACGACGACGUUGAUAGGCCGGGUGUGUAAGCGCAGCGAUACGUUGAGCUAACCGGUACUAAUGAACCGUGAGGCUUAACCUUACAACGCCGAAGGUGUUU
rnacentral:rRNA from 1 species